UACAGAGGGUGCAAGCGUUAAUCGGAAUUACUGGGCGUAAAGCGUGCGUAGACGGUUAUGUAAGUCAGAUGUGAAAGCCCAGGGCUCAACCUUGGAAUUGCAUUUGAGACUGCAUAGCUAGGGUGCGGAAGAGGGAAGCGGAAUUUCCGGUGUAGCGGUGAAAUGCGUAGAUAUCGGAAGGAACACCAGUGGCGAAAGCGGCUUCCUGGUCCAGCACCGGACGUCAGGCACGAAAGCGUGGGGAGCAAACAGG
rnacentral:rRNA from 1 species